GAACGCGAAGAACCUUACCCGGGCUUGAAUUGCAGAGGAAGGAUUUAGAGAUAAUGACGCCCUUCGGGGUCUCUGUGAAGGUGCUGCAUGGUUGUCGUCAGCUCGUGCCGUGAGGUGUCGGCUUAAGUGCCAUAACGAGCGCAACCCCUCUCUUCAGUUGCCAUCAGGUAAUGCUGGGCACUCUGGAGACACUGCCACCGUAAGGUGUGAGGAAGGUGGGGAUGACGUCAAAUCAGCACGGCCCUUACGUCCGGGGCUACACACGUGUUACAAUGGCCGGUACAGAGGGAUGGUGCAAUGCAAAUUGCAUCAAAUCUUGAAAGCCGGUCCCAGUUCGGACUGGGGUCUGCAACCCGACCCCACGAAGCUGGAUUCGCUAGUAAUCGCGCAUCAGCCAUGGCGCGGUGAAUACGUUCCCGGGUCUUGUACACACC
rnacentral:rRNA from 1 species